GGAAAAAGGUUCAUCCAAGAAGCAUGGAAAAGGUAAGGACAUUGCUGUCUUAAGAGCAUCUAGGGCUGAGAAAAUUGCUCUCAGACCUAUGAGCAGAACCAAGUAUUUCAACCUUGAAAGUCUGGAAACCAAGGCAUGGAAUAUGAAGGAGUUCACUGAACCUCAAGGAUGGACCAACUUCAUAACUCUUCAAGAACACACCUAUGAAGACUUGGUCAGAGAGUUCUACUCCAACCUAUCAGUUCAGGAAAAGAAGAAUGGAAAUGAGAAGUUUCUCAUCUCAUCAGUCAAAGGUGUAAAGAUCAAGAUGACU
rnacentral:lncRNA from 1 species